UACAAAUUUAUGAACUCCGAAG
rnacentral:miRNA from 1 species